AUUGAACGCUGGCGGCAGGCUUAACACAUGCAAGUCGAGCGAGCGGCGGACGGGUGAGUAAUGUAUGGGAAACUGCCCGAUGGAGGGGGAUAACUACUGGAAACGGUAGCUAAUACCGCAUACCAUCAGAUGUGCCCAGAUGGGAUUAGCUAGUAGGUGGGGUACAGGCUCAACUAGGCGACGAUCCCUAGCUGGUCUGAGAGGAUGACCAGCCACACUGGGACUGAGCCACGGUCCAGACUCCUACGGGAGGCAGCAGUGGGGAAUAUUGCACAAGGGGCGCAAGCCUGAUGCAGCCAUGCCGCGUGUGUGAAGAAGGCCUUAGGGUUGUAAAGUACUUUCAGCGAGGAGGCGUUACUCGCAGAAGAAGCACCGGCUAACUCCGUGCCAGCCGCCGCGGUAAUUC
rnacentral:rRNA from 1 species